GUGCUCGCUUGGGCAGCAUAUAUACUAAAAUUAGAAUGAUACAGAGAUUAGCACGACCCCUGCGCAAGGAUGACACGCAGAUUCGUGAAGCAUUCCUUAUUUUU
ensembl:snRNA U6 U6 spliceosomal RNA